UAGGGAAUAUUGGACAAUGGGGGCAACCCUGAUCCAGCCAUGCCGCGUGAGUGAAGAAGGCCCUCGGGUUGUAAAGCUCUUUUGUCCGGAAAGAGAAGCAUUCGGUGAAUACCCGGAUGUUCUGACGGUACCGGAAGAAUAAGCACCGGCUAACUUCGUGCCAGCAGCCGCGGUAAUACGAAGGGUGCAAGCGUUACUCGGAAUUACUGGGCGUAAAGCGUGCGUAGGUGGUUGUUUAAGUCUGAUGUGAAAGCCCUGGGCUCAACCUGGGAAUGGCAUUGGAAACUGGGCAGCUAGAGGGCGGUAGAGGGUAGUGGAAUUCCUGGUGUAGCAGUGAAAUGCGUAGAGAUCGGGAGGAACAUCUGUGCCGAAGGCGACUGCCUGGACCAGCACUGACACUGAGGCACGAAAGCGUGGGGAGCAAACA
rnacentral:rRNA from 1 species